UACGAAGGUCCCAAGCGUUGUUCGGAAUCACUGGGCGUAAAGGGCACGUAGGCGGAUUGGAAAGUUGGAGGUGAAAUCCCAGGGCUCAACCUUGGAACUGCCUUUGAAACUCCUGGUCUUGAGGUCGUGAGAGGUGAGUGGAAUUCCGAGUGUAGAGGUGAAAUUCGUAGAUAUUCGGAGGAACACCAGUGGCGAAGGCGGCUCACUGGCUCGAUACUGACGCUGAGGUGCGAAAGCGUGGGGAGCAAACAGG
rnacentral:rRNA from 1 species